rnacentral:rRNA from 1 species
GAUGAACGCUAGCGGCACGCCUAAUACAUGCAAGUCGGACGGGAUCUAGAUCUAAGCUUGCUUAGAUUUAGUGAGAGUGGCGCACGGGUGCCUAACGCGUGAGCAACCUACCCAUAUCAGGGGGAUAGCCCGGAGAAAUCCGGAUUAAGACCGCAUAACACAACGACUCGGCAUCGAGAUGUUGUUAAAUAUUUAUAGGACAUGGAUGGGCUCGCGUGACAUUAGCUAGUUGGUAAGCGUAACGGCCUACCAAGGCUACGAUGUCUAGGGGCUCUGAGAGGACAAUCCCCCACACUGGUACUGAGACACGGACCAGACUCCUACGGGAGGCAGCAGUAAGGAAUAUUGGUCCAUGGAGGGAACUCUGAACCAGCCAUGCCGCGUGCAGGAUGACUGCCCUAUGGGUUGUAAACUGCUUUUGUCCAGGAAUAACCACCACUACGUGUAGUGGCUUGAAUGUACUGCAAGAAUAACGAUCGGCUAACUCCGUGCCAUCAGCCGCGGUCAUACGGAGGAGCCGAGCGCUGUCCCGGAUUUAUUGGGUUAAAAGGGCGCGUAGGCGGCUCAUUAAGUCAGGGGUGAAAGACGGCAGCUCAACUGUCGCAGUGCCUUUGAUACUGAUGAGCUUGAAUGUGGUUGAAGAUGGCGGAAUGAGACAAGUAGCGGUGAAAUGCAUAGAUAUGUCUCAGAACUCCGAUUGCGAAGGCAGCUGUCUAAGUCAUUAUUGACGCUGAUGUACGAAAGCGUGGGGAUCGAACAGGAUUAGAUACCCUGGUAGUCCACGCCCUAAACGAUGAUAACUCGAUGUUGGCGAUACACAGUCAGCGUCUUAGCGAAAGCGUUAAGUUAUCCACCUGGGGAGUACGCCCGCAAGGGUGAAACUCAAAGGAAUUGACGGGGGCCCGCACAAGCGGAGGAGCAUGUGGUUUAAUUCGAUGAUACGCGAGGAACCUUACCCGGGCUUGAAAGUUACUGAAUUAUCUAGAGAUAGAUAAGUCCUUCGGGACAGGAAACUAGGUGCUGCAUGGCUGUCGUCAGCUCGUGCCGUGAGGUGUUGGGUUAAGUCCCGCAACGAGCGCAACCCCUAUGUUUAGUUGCCAGCAUGUAAUGAUGGGGACUCUAAACAGACUGCCAGCGUAAGCUGUGAGGAAGGUGGGGACGACGUCAAGUCAUCAUGGCCCUUACGUCCGGGGCUACACACGUGCUACAAUGGAUGGUACAGCGGGCAGCUACCUGGUAACAGGAUGCUAAUCUCGAAAAGCCAUUCACAGUUCGGAUUGAGGUCUGCAACUCGACCUCAUGAAGUUGGAUUCGCUAGUAAUCGCGUAUCAGCAAUGACGCGGUGAAUACGUUCCCGGGCCU